GAUGAACGCUAGCGGCAGGCCUAAUACAUGCAAGUCGAACGGGAUCUGAGGGUAGCUUGCUACCCGAUUUGAGAGUGGCGCACGGGUGCGUAACGCGUGAGCAACCUACCCAUAUCAGGGGGAUAGCCCGAAGAAAUUCGGAUUAACACCGCAUAACAAUACGCUAACACAUGUUGAUGUAUUUAAAUAUUUAUAGGAUAUGGAUGGGCUCGCGUGACAUUAGCUAGUUGGUAAGGUAACGGCUUACCAAGGCGACGAUGUCUAGGGGCUCUGAGAGGAGAAUCCCCCACACUGGUACUAAGACACGGACCAGACUCCUACGGGAGGCAGCAGUAAGGAAUAUUGGUCAAUGGGCGCAAGCCUGAACCAGCCAUGCCGCGUGCAGGAUGACUGCCCUAUGGGUUGUAAACUGCUUUUGUUAGGGAAUAAACCUACUUAUGUAUAAGUAGCUGAAUGUACCUAAAGAAUAAGGAUCGGCUAACUCCGUGCCAGCAGCCGCGGUAA
rnacentral:rRNA from 1 species